rnacentral:piRNA from 1 species
UGGAAUGGAGAAAUUUAAUCC